GGGCCCGUAGCUCAACUGGCCAGAGCACCGGACUCCAAAUCCGGAGGGUGCGGGUUCGACUCCUGCCGGGCCUGCCA
rnacentral:tRNA from 3 species